UUUUCCCGUAGCAACGUAAACCACGAUCCCCCCUUAACCACGUCUGAGAAAAAAAAAUAGGGGCUAAAUUCCUGACCCCCGCAUUAUUAAACCCAUCUGUCCAUUCUCCUUUGUGCCUUUUUGUUUUUUUAUCCUAAUUCCGUUCAGCAGUUCCCUAUCUCCGCGUGCCAUCCGCAACCAGCACUGCUCCAAAACAGAUAGAAGGGGCGCCCUGCCUGGGGUUGCGCUGCAGAUGGAUAGCGCGAUUGCGCCGCCGUCCAUGGCGCCGCCGCUCCCCAAGCCUGAGUUUUCCGUCCAGUCUCCGUGGUGCUCCGUUCUGGUAAGGUUGCCUACCUAGGUCGCUUGUUGAUUUCCCCUGAUCUACGAUGUCUCUCCAUAUCCAGAUCUGCACAACACAGCUUGGUUCCUGGUGAUUAAAGGGGCAGCAUCGAUUCGCGGUAAUUAACCAUGUACCAUGGCUUUUGGCAGAUCCAAUAGAGUAGUCGUGCCACUGUGGUGCCAAGGUGGAUCGGAGUUGUUGAUUUUGACGAGGAUGGAGUAGAUCGUUGGAGUUGCUUUCUCUCCCAUGCAGGAUAUCCACCGUUGUAGUGUCCUUGACAGAUUGUCAGCCUUUGCUUUUUCUAAGAAAUCUCCUGAGUCUGCGGUAGUAGAGAUCCUGUAUCAGUUAUUCUUCAAAGGAAGAUCGACAGGAUUGAUCAAGUGGAUAUAUCUUCUAUUCUUGCUGAGUGCCAGGUUUAUAUUGAAGGUCAAGAUGGUUUCACUCGAAGUUUUGAAAGAACUGGAGCAUAGGAAAUUCAAUCCUGCUUAAGAUAUGGACAACAUUUUAUGACCAAUUGUUGCAGAAAAAAAGCACAUUGCAAGACAUAUUAGAUAUUACGCAUAUGUCUGACAUGCUAUUGAGAUUAGGAAAACAGUGGAUGAUUGGAGUGAGCACAGUCCAUGAUAAAUUAGUCAUAUAUGUUUGAUUUCUAUUUUUUCUAUUUGAUGUAUUAGUCAUAGAUGACCCUUGUAACUGAAAUUGCCUGUCUAAUAAGAUCAUUUUCGAUUUCAGUGAACA